rnacentral:rRNA from 1 species
ACACUGGGAUAGCCUUUCGAAAGAAAGAUUAAUACCGGAUGGCAUAAUUAUUCCGCAUGGGAUAAUUAUUAAAGAAUUUCGGUUGUCGAUGGGGAUGCGUUCCAUUAGGCAGUUGGCGGGGUAACGGCCCACCAAACCUACGAUGGAUAGGGGUUCUGAGAAGAAGGUCCCCCACAUUGGAACUGAGACACGGUCCAAACUCCUACGGGAGGCAGCAGUGAGGAAUAUUGGUCAAUGGACGAGAGUCUGAACCAGCCAAGUAGCGUGAAGGAUGACUGCCCUAUGGGUUGUAAACUUCUUUUAUACGGGAAUAAAGUGAGCCACGUGUGGUUUUUUGUAUGUACCGUAUGAAUAAGGAUCGGCUAACUCCGUGCCAGCAGCCGCGGUAAUACGGAGGAUCCGAGCGUUAUCCGGAUUUAUUGGGUUUAAAGGGAGCGUAGGCGGGUUGUUAAGUCAGUUGUGAAAGUUUGCGGCUCAACCGUAAAAUUGCAGUUGAUACUGGCGACCUUGAGUGCAACAGAGGUAGGCGGAAUUCGUGGUGUAGCGGUGAAAUGCUUAGAUAUCACGAAGAACUCCGAUUGCGAAGGCAGCUUACUGGAUUGUAACUGACGCUGAUGCUCGAAAGUGUGGGUAUCAAACAGGAUUAGAUACCCUGGUAGUCCACACAGUAAACGA